rnacentral:rRNA from 1 species
CUGUCCUACGGGGGGCAGCAGUGAGGAAUAUUGGUCAAUGGGCGCAAGCCUGAACCAGCCAAGUCGCGUGAGGGAUGACGGUCCUAUGGAUUGUAAACCUCUUUUGUCGGGGAGCAAGGCCCGCCACGUGUGGCGGGAAGGAGAGUACCCGAAGAAAAAGCAUCGGCUAACUACGUGCCAGCAGCCGCGGUAAUACGUAGGGUGCAAGCGUUAUCCGGAUUUAUUGGGCGUAAAGGGCUCGUAGGCGG